GCACAACACCGGACCURCCAAAUAGCCUACUAACUUUUUGCCAUCCAACUUCAGCAGUGGUCUCUCAAUAGYUGUAGGUAGGCUGCUACGAGCCACAGCCCCACCUUGCAGGGAACACUACUCCGUCUCGGACUUCACAGAUAACAACAUUCUGAGACAGACGGCUCAACCUCCACAGUCUGAACAGAUAGUCUUCAUGGACUAGAGGGGAUGGCUGCGCGACCGAGACUAUUUUAUCUACUCACAACUUUAUUCCUGUUUUUGAACUACUACUCUGCAUUACCGGCGACUGGCACCAAGAAAGGAAACUCGGAUAAAUGCAACUAUAAGGGGCUCCAGGUUCAGUCAAGUUCUGACGAGAAUGGUCGGAAGCUCGGGGUCACAUUCCGAACAGACAAUUGCUCUGUGAACUGGAGCCAUUGGGGAAGCAUGCCAUCUAUGAGGUGAACAAUGUAGUUCAGCC